rnacentral:sRNA from 1 species
AUGAGCAAUUGCUUAGAAGAGCAUUUUUAUAAGAAAGAAUUACCAGUCAUAAGUACUACAGAUUUACAUGAAAUUCGUGGAGUAUGCAAUACUGUACAUAAUGUUCAAGGGAAAAUUGAUUUGGACAUAGAUGUCAAUGGAUUAGUUAUGCCCUUUUCUUUUUAUAUUUUAAGAGAUGUUGGAUUUCACUUAAUCCUUGGUCAAGAUUUUUUGACUACUCAUAAGGCAAACAUUGAUUUUUCAAAUGGUUGUGUUUCAUUUCAUAAUGAUUUUACUAUUGCUGCCUUGGAGUCUGGAAAGAAUUUAGAGAGAUAUUUCAUAGCAAACACAAACAAAACGCUGACUUUAAAAGCAUAUACAGAGAAUGAUAUACAACUUUCUAUCAAUAAAUUCCCAACAAAUACAACAGUGCUGUUAGAGCCACACGAUAAUUUGAUAAACAGACAAAUAUUAGGUUCAAAUUGUCUCAGUGUAGUUAAAAAUGCAAAAGUUUACUACAGAGUGCUAAAUCCAACAAAUGAAGACAUUGUUAUAAAGGCAAAUUCACCAAUUUCAAAAGUUUGGAAAUCACCCACAAAACCAAUCUGUGCCUUAGAUAACAAAUCAAAAUCAGAUGUUCAAUUUCAAGACCCAAUUAAAGAGGCAUUAAAUCUUAAUGUUACAAUUGAUUCCGAUAACAUUACUAAAGAACAACACCAAAAACUUCUAAAGUUAAUAGGAUCAAAUAGGAAUGUUUUCGCAAAAGAUGCGUCUGAAUUAGGCAAAACAGACUUGCAUUAUCACAAUAUUGAAACGACAAAUGAAGCACCAGUAAGGUCUAAACGGUUUCAAUAUUCACCAAAAAUGCAAGAAGUUAUGGAGACACAAAUCAAAAAUCUCAAAGAAAAUGACAUCAUAGAAGAAUCAAUGUCUCCUUACCAUAGCAGUGUAAUCUUAGUGAAAAAACCAAACAAUACAUACAGAUUCGUUUUAGACUUUCGAAAAUUGAAUGAGGUCACUAAAAAAGUUUCUUUCUCAAUUCCUAAAAUAGAAGAGGUUGUUGAUACAGUUGGCUAUUCAAGAGCUAAAAUUUUCAGUUCGCUUGAUCUUGCUAGUGGAUUUCAUCAGGUGCCACUUGAUGAACAGUCAAAACACAAAACAGCAUUCAUGACACCACAAGGUCAAUACCAAUUUAAAAGAUUGUGUUUUGGUUUAACAAAUGCACCUGCAACAUUUCAAAUGUUAAUGACUAAAGUCUUACAAGAACUAAAUUGGAAGGUUGCACUUAUAUACAUAGAUGACAUAUUAGUGUUUUCCAAAAACUUUGAUGAACAUCUUGAACAUUUGAAUCUGGUAUUUCAAAAAUUAAAACAAGCAAAGUUAACUUUACAACCCUCAAAAUGUCAUUUUGCGGCAAAACAAGUAAAAUAUUUAGGACACAUUAUCUCUGAACAUGGCAUACAGGUUGACAAAUCUAAAACAGUUGCAGUUUCUGAAUAUCCCAUUCCAAAAUCAGUCAAACAAUUACGUAGCUUUCUUGGUAUGUGCAACUAUUACAGAAAAUUUAUUCAAAACUACAGUAAAAAUUUGUUCCUCUCUUACAACACUAUUAAAGAAAGAUGUAAAAUUUGAUUGGACAACAAAACAAGAUGAUGCAUUCAAUACAUUAAAACAAAAACUGACAUCUGCACCAAUCCUUGCAUUUCCUGACUUUGAAAAAGAGUUUUUCCUGUCAAUAGAUGCGUCAGAUUCAGCAAUUGGUUAUGUAUUAGGUCAAAAACAUCAUGAAGGACUAGAAAAAGUUAUUGCAUAUGGAGGUAGAGGUUUAAGAGAUCAGGAAAAACGUUGGCAUAUCAAUCACAAAGAAGGGUUAGCUCUAAUUGAAGCUAUAAAAACUUUCAAACCGUAUAUAGCAAACAAUCAGUUUACAGUUUACACUGAUAGUAUAACCGUGCGAUGGCUAAAUAACUCAAAGGACGCUACUGGACGACUUGGGAGGUGGUCAUUGUUUUUACAGCAGUACACUUUCAACAUUGUUCAUAGACCAGGCACCCAGAACCAAAAUGCUGAUGCAUUGUCACGAAGAGAUUAUCCCAUAGAUAGCCAAGACAAAGAAUACCAAUCUGAUGAUGACCUUCCAGAGAUUGGUUCACUUCAUGCUGAAAGGAAAGAACAUAUAGCAGUCACCUUUGAGUUUGGCUGGGAAAACAGCAUCCGGAUUCCUGAAGUUCUAGCUAUUGAAGAGGACCAACCUAAAGAUCCUGAUGAGAUGUUACCAACACGUCAAACCUUGUACCAGCUACAAAGAAACUGUCCAGACUUCAAACCAAUUUUUGAUUAUAAACUAAAAGGACUCGUUCCAGAUGAGGUUCAAAAGGCAAGAUCUCUUGUUGCAAAGGCGUACCAUUAUGAAAUUAUUGAAGGCAUUUUGUACCAUAUGGUUUCCGAAAAUUCAAGAAAACUUCCUCCAGGCCACAAUUUCAUAAAACAACUUUGUGUUCCAGCUGUCCUACGACGUGAUGUGAUGUUAUGUUACCAUGAUAGUAAAAUGGCAGCUCAUCCAGGUGUUGAGAGAAACCAUGCAUCCUUACGUUUAAAAUACUAUUGGCCAAAUAUGUAUUCCGACAUAGACAAGUACGUAAGAACAUGUGAACAGUGCCAGAAAUCAAAGAACUCUAAACAUCAGAGACCAGUACCCCUUACUCCUUUGCCAAUUGAAAAUGUGUUUGAAAGAAUGCAUAUGGAUUUUUUAGAACUAUCAACAACACCUGACAAACACAGAUACUUGCUACUAGUGGUUGACAGUUACUCGAAAUGGUGUGAGGCAUUUCCCUUGAAAUCAAUGGAAGCGAAGGUGGUUGCUAAAGUAUUAUUCAAUGAGAUAAUUUGCCGCUGGGGAAGUCCACGUUGUAUCAUAUCUGACAGAGGUGCCAAUUUCAUGUCCAAGCUUGUUCAAGCUCUUUGCGAGUUAUGUGAUGUUACUAGACACUAUACAAGUAGCUAUCAUCCGCAAACCAAUGCAGCCUGUGAAAGAAUGAAUUCUUAUAUCAUUCAAUCCCUUCGUUCAUAUUGUAACAAAGAACAGACAGAUUGGCCAGAUUUUAUACCUCCAAUCAUGAUGGCUUACAGGUCCACACCUGCAACACAGUCAACUCAAUUCUCACCAUUUGAAAUACUGUUUGGACAACCAAUGAGGCUGCCUAUUGAUGUGUCUUUAAUACCAAAACAAACAAUGCCAAGGGAAACUAAACAACAUGUAAAUGAAUUGGUAAACAGAUUAAAACUCUACCGUGAAGUUGCUGCUAAAAACCAGAAAGAAAAACAAGACAAAUAUACCUUUCAACACGACAAAAAAGCAGUUCAACCAACUUUCGUUGCUGGGGCAAAAGUAUGGCUAUAUUGUAGCAGAACACCAAAAGGCAAGAAUCACAAAUUAGUUCAAAGAUGGACAGGUCCUUACCGAAUUCUGUACAAAGGGCCAAAUAAUACCUUUAAGAUUAAAAAUACUGAAACACAAAAAGAGGUUAAGGCAUUAGUACAUGCUAAGAGACUGAAAGACUACCAUAAUCCCCUAGACCGUCCAAAUUAUCUGCUGCCUGAAUAUGAAGACAUUCUACUUGAUGCAGAGGAGCAAGAUGAUAACGAAGCCACAAAUGUUGAGCGUAAUGAUGACCUUAUUGAUUCACAAAACAUGCAAAAUGAAGACAAUAAUCAGACACAAAAUGAAGUUCAGACUCAAAGUUCAGUUCAAAAUGAUACAAGUAUUCAGACAAACAUAAUUCACAGGUCAAAAAUUCACAAAAGGCAAACCAAGGGGCAUCACAAAAUCAAAACAGAUUACAAAACCCUCAGCAUACCGCAUUUCAGUCCAAUGAAAUUGAAAAACUUGUUGAAUAUAGUCUUUAUCAGGGUAAACCUAUAUACAAAGUAAAAUUGACUGGUAAGCCAGGAACUAGUUGGCAAGAUGGUUCACGUAUUCCAGAAAAUUUAAAACAGGAUUACCAUAGACAAUACAAUGCAAAAGGACGAAAGCGGAAACGUCCAGGAAAACACAAGUUUUUUGAGUCAACUAAAAGUCCGUCAGUUCAAGUCAUACAAACUUAUAAGGCAUUUCCCAAAACAAAACCAAAUUCAUUUCAAAACAAGGGAAAUAGUCAACAAUUCAGUCAAGUACCUAAUCAAAAAAAUUGUAAGCGUUCUAUUAGACAAAGAUCAAAAACAGUCCAGAUAUUUAGUAAAGUUUUCAAAUGGUAAUGUCUGUCAAGGUCCAAGAAGUACUCUAUUUAUGAGUGAGGAUUUAAGACCUGAUGUGUUUAGGCAGUUCUUAAAAGUCCUAAAACAAGAAGAAAAUAUGUGUGCAAACUCUCAAAAUCCAGUACAACCAAAUGAUUUUGUGCCAGUAUCCCAGUUUGAUAUUGAAACAAUGAAAUUUAUGCACCAUUUUACACCUACAACACGAAGAGCAAUACCCACUCAAUAUUCAUCUGGUCAUGGCAUUAACAGGUUCAGAUUAAAACUUAUUGAACAUUAUGCAAGGGUUAAUGGCAAUGAUCCAAGUCUGUACUAG